rnacentral:rRNA from 1 species
UACGGAGGGUGCGAGCGUUGUCCGGAUUUACUGGGCGUAAAGGGCGUGCAGGCGGUUUGUUAAGUGCAGGGUGAAAGCUCCCGGCUCAACUGGGAGAGGUCCUUGCAUACUGGCGAACUCGAGGGAGGCAGAGGAAAGUGGAAUUCCCGGUGUAGUGGUGAUAUGCGUAGAUAUCGGGAGGAACACCUGUGGCGAAGGCGGCUUUCUGGGCCUUACCUGACGCUGAGACGCGAAAGCGUGGGGAGCGAACCGG